GUAGGUGGCAAGCGUUGUCCGGAAUUAUUGGGCGUAAAGCGCGCGCAGGCGGUUCUUUAAGUCUGAUGCGAAAGCCCACGGGCUCAACCGUGGAGGGUCAUUGGAAACUGGAGAACUUGAGUACAGAAGAGGAAAGCGGAAUUCCACGUGUAGCGGUGAAAUGCGUAGAGAUGUGGAGGAACACCAGUGGCGAAGGCGGCUUUCUGGUCUGUAACUGACGCUGAGGCGCGAAAGCGUGGGGAGCAAACAGGAUUAGAUACCCUGGUAGUCCACGCCGUAAACGAUGAGUGCUAAGUGUUAGGGGGUUUCCGCCCCUUAGUGCUGCAGCUAACGCAUUAAGCACUCCGCCUGGGGAGUACGGCCGCAAGGCUG
rnacentral:rRNA from 1 species